rnacentral:rRNA from 1 species
CCCCUAGAUGUUCUGGGCCGCACGCGCGCUACACUGAACAGUUCAACAAGUCUUAACCUUGGCCGAUAGGUCUGGGUAAUCUUUGAACGCUGUUCGUGAUUGGGAUAGACCUUUGCAAUUAUGGGUCUUCAACAAGGAAUUCCUAGUAAACGCAAGUCAUCAGCUUGCAUUGAUUACGUCCCUGCCCUUUGUACACACCGCCCGUCGCACCUACCGAUUGAAUGGUCCGGUGAAAUCUCGGGACGGCGGCUUGGUCGCUUGCGUCCGACUGCUGAAACUUGAUUAAACCAUAUCAUUUAGAGGAAGGUGAANUCGUAACA